UCUAAUAUGGCAGAUAAGUGCGGUGGAUUUAAGCUCCACAUAUAAAGCCUCAACUUUUAUUAGAA
rnacentral:tRNA from 1 species